AGUUCGAUCAUGGCUCAGAUUGAACGCUGGCGGGAUGCUUUACACAUGCAAGUCGAACGGCAGUAAUGGACUUCGGUCUGGUGGCGAGUGGCGAACGGGUGAGUAAUGUAUCGGAACGCCUAGUAGCGGGGAUAACUACGCGAAAGCGUAGCUAAUACCGCGUGCCAUUGCCUUCGGGGGAAAGCGGGGGACCUUCGGGCCUCGCACUAUUAGAGCGGCCGAUAUCGGAUUAGCUAGUUGGUGGGGUAACGGCUCACCAUGCGACGAUCCGUAGCUGGUUUGAGAGGGACGACCAGCCACACUGGGACUGAGACACGGCCCAGACUCCUACGGAGGCAGUGGGGAAUUUUGGACAAUGGGGAAACCCGAUCCAGCCAUCCGCGUGUGGGCGAUGAAGGCCUUCGGGUUGUAAAAUAUCUUUUGGCAGGGAAAGAAACGGCACGGGAUAAUACCCCGUGCAACUGAAGGUACCCAGAAUAAGCACCGGCUAACUACGUGCCAGCAGCCGCGGUAGUACGUAGGUGCAAGCGUUAAUCGGAAUUACUGGGCGGCGCGCAGGCGGUUCGGAAAGAAAGAUGUGAAAUCCCAGAGCUUAACUUUGGAACUGCAUUUUUAACUACCGAGCUAGAGUGUGUCAGAGGGAGGUGGAAUUUUGUGUGUAGCAGUGAAUGCGUAGAUAUGCGGAGAAAUUUUACUCGAUGGCGGAAGAGCCUUCAUAGCACUGACGCUCAUGCACGAAAGCGUGGGGAGCAAACAGGAUUGAGAUACCUCUGGUAGUCCACGCCCUAAACGAUGUCAACUAGCUGUUGGGGCCUUCGGGCCUUGGUAGCGCAGCUAACGCGUGAAGUUGACCGCCUGGGGAGUACGGCUGCAAGAUUAAAACCAGUGAAUUGACGGGGACCUGCACAAGCGCGGUGAUGAUGUGGAUUAAUCUGAUGCAACGAAAACCUGUUCACCCUUGACAUGUUCAGAAUCCACGACGGGGGAGUGCUCGCAAGAGAACCGGAACAGCGGUGCUGCAGCGGCUGCCGUCAGCUCGUGUCGAGAUGCUGGGUUAAGUCCCGCAACGAGCGCAACCCUUUAGCCGUCAGUUGCCAUGGAGGGCAACGUAAUGAGACUGCCGGUGACAAACCGGAGGAAGGUGGGGAUGACGUUUGUCUCAUGGCCCUUAUGGGUAGGCCGACGGGUCAUACAAUGGUCGGGACAGAGGGCCGCCACCGCGAGGGGGAGCCAAUCCCAGAAACCCGAUCGUAGUCCGAUCGCAGUCUGCAACUCGACUGCGCAGUCGAAAUCGCUAGCAAUCGCGGAUCAGCAUGUCGUAUCGAUGUUCCCGGUCUUGCACAUACCGCCCGUCGCCACUGAAGCGAGGUCAUCAAAGUAGUUGGGGCCUAACCGUAAGGAGGGCGAUUAAUACGACGGUAGGGAUCAUGACUGGGGUGAAGUCGUAACAAGGUAG
rnacentral:rRNA from 1 species